ACGGUCAAAUCACGCUGAAACACCGGUUCUCGUACGAUCACCGAAGUUAAGCAGCGUAGAGCCAGGUCAGUACUUAGAUGGGGACCGCCU